UGAUCCUUAUUGAUAUACUCGAAAUCCAAUAAAUAAAGUAUGAAUAUCUGAAUUUUUUACUCGAUGAAUACUGGGCAGGGUAUAGAUAUAAAAAAACUAUCCCGUAGAUAUCCAUUGUGAUCCUUAUACAUAAUUUCAAUAUAUAAAAUCAAUGCAUCAAUACAUUUAUUUUUCUUUUACAAUGAUAAAAUGAUGAUAAAUGCAAAAUAUACAUAUGUUUUUAUUCCUUUUACAUUAUGCUUUUAAUGUGUUUUAAGCUUAUUUGAGCUCAUUAGCUUAUUUGAGCUCAUUGAAAGUAAUUUUAUGAGUUUGGCAUGCCUAAAAGACUUGGUGAAUUAAUUGCUAAAAGAUAAUAAAUUCUGCAUUUGAUGUUUCGAAUCUUGGUUUUUCUGACAGGUUUUUCACCAAGUUGGAGUUACAGAAUGGGAACGUGGCUUAAUAAAGGUUGAACUACACAUAUCCAGCUUUUCAAGAAGAUAUUAUGGAAAGAAAUCUGAUCUUAUUUGAAACUCUAAUAAGACCUGCAAAACCGGGAGGAAAGAAAAGAAGGGUCCCUCUACUGCUGCUACUGGAUUGCAUUUUCUCCCGGUUGCUGGAGUUGUUGAUGACGUUGCUGCUAAUCUUGACUGCAACCAACGUUGGGGAUGGAGAUCUCCACAAUGCAUUUUAAAAAAUUUAUUCCAUGCAUGAUAUUAAUUAUCUAAAUUUAUUUCUAAUCUUAUUCAUGAUUUAUUUUAAUAAACAAUUG
rnacentral:lncRNA from 1 species